rnacentral:rRNA from 1 species
UACGUAGGGUGCGAGCGUUGUCCGGAAUUAUUGGGCGUAAAGAGCUCGUAGGCGGUUUGUUGCGUCUAUCGUGAAAACCUGCAGCUUAACUGUGGGCUUGCGGUGGAUACGGGCAGACUUGAGUUCGGUAGGGGAGACUGGGAAUUCCUGGUGUAGCGGUGAAAUGCGCAGAUAUCAGGAAGAACACCCGUGGCGAAGGCGGCUCUCUGGGACGGUACUGACGCUGAGACGCGAAAGCGUGGGGAGCGAACAGG